rnacentral:lncRNA from 11 species
GAGAAAAGGCGGGAAGAAGAAGCGGAGCCCUCCAUUUUAUCCCCCCCCUCCCCUCCCCGCGCGCGCCGUCUCCCAUGGUUACAUAACGUCCAGCGCGGCUUCUCGCGAGAGUUUCUAGCUCCUCCUCGCUCCCCCCUCCCCCCUCAGCCCCCACGUCACCGGGAGACCAGACGGGGACAACAUGGCGGAGCGGAGGAGGCACAGGAAGCGGGUCCAGAUGACCAGAGGUGUAUUAAUGACAGCUCUGGAGAGUACUAGGUGGGGAAUUGAAAGGAUGGUUUGAGCACUGGCUGGAUGGAAUAUUGUGAUAAAGUUUACCAAAGUUCAGAAGCAUAGUAUAGGGCCUUUCCAGUCAGGCGCUAUAUCCCAGGAUCUGAUCCCAGGUUUUCUGCUUUAAACUAGAUUAUAUGAGUCCUU